rnacentral:rRNA from 1 species
GAUGAACGCUAGCUACAGGCUUAACACAUGCAAGUCGAGGGGCAGCAUUUUAGUUUGCUUGCAAACUGAAGAUGGCGACCGGCGCACGGGUGAGUAACACGUAUCCAACCUGCCGAUAACUCCGGGAUAGCCUUUCGAAAGAAAGAUUAAUACCGGAUAGCAUACGAAUAUCGCAUGAUAUUUUUAUUAAAGAAUUUCGGUUAUCGAUGGGGAUGCGUUCCAUUAGUUUGUUGGCGGGGUAACGGCCCACCAAGACAACGAUGGAUAGGGGUUCUGAGAGGAAGGUCCCCCACAUUGGAACUGAGACACGGUCCAAACUCCUGCGGGAGGCAGCAGUGAGGAAUAUUGGUCAAUGGGCGAGAGCCUGAACCAGCCAAGUAGCGUGAAGGAUGAAGGCUCUAUGGGUCGUAAACUUCUUUUAUAUGGGAAUAAAGUAUUCCACGUGUGGAAUUUUGUAUGUACCAUAUGAAUAAGGAUCGGCUAACUCCGUGCCAGCAGCCGCGGUAAUACGGAGGAUCCGAGCGUUAUCCGGAUUUAUUGGGUUUAAAGGGAGCGUAGGUGGAUUGUUAAGUCAGUUGUGAAAGUUUGCGGCUCAACCGUAAAAUUGCAGUUGAAACUGGCAGUCUUGAGUACAGUAGAGGUGGGCGGAAUUCGUGGUGUAGCGGUGAAAUGCUUAGAUAUCACGAAGAACUCCGAUUGCGAAGGCAGCUCACUAGACUGUCACUGACACUGAUGCUCGAAAGUGUGGGUAUCAAACAGGAUUAGAUACCCUGGUAGUCCACACAGUAAACGAUGAAUACUCGCUGUUUGCGAUAUACAGUAAGCGGCCAAGCGAAAGCAUUAAGUAUUCCACCUGGGGAGUACGCCGGCAACGGUGAAACUCAAAGGAAUUGACGGGGGCCCGCACAAGCGGAGGAACAUGUGGUUUAAUUCGAUGAUACGCGAGGAACCUUACCCGGGCUUAAAUUGCAACAGAAUAUAUUGGAAACAGUAUAGCCGUAAGGCUGUUAUGAAGGUGCUGCAUGGUUGUCGUCAGCUCGUGCCGUGAGGUGUCGGCUUAAGUGCCAUAACGAGCGCAACCCUUAUCUUUAGUUACUAACAGGUCAUGCUGAGGACUCUAGAGAGACUGCCGUCGUAAGAUGUGAGGAAGGUGGGGAUGACGUCAAAUCAGCACGGCCCUUACGUCCGGGGCUACACACGUGUUGCAAUGGGGGGUACAGAAGGCGGCUACCUGGUGACAGGAUGCUAAUCCCAAAAACCUCUCUCAGUUCGGAUCGAAGUCUGCAACCCGACUUCGUGAAGCUGGAUUCGCUAGUAAUCGCGCAUCAGCCAUGGCGCGGUGAAUACGUUCCCGGGCCU